rnacentral:antisense_RNA from 1 species
GAUGUGAGGACACAUAGAGCAUGCCAUCUAUGAGAAACAGGCCCUCAUCAGACACUGAAUCUGCUGGCACCUUGACCUUGAACUUUCCAGCCUUCAGAACUAUUCCCAUAGAAGAAAUGGUUUCCAGAAUGCAGAAGUGGUCCAUGAUGCCAGAUGUUGCACAAAGAGCAAAGAAGGAGAACAAGAACAAGAACAAGAACUCCUGCCCAGGAGGCCUCCCACCCCCACAUAGGAGGGCACCACCCACAUGGCAUCAGCCUGCAGCUGAUUUCAUAUUACAUGCUCAUGACAUAGCACUUUAUAGGACAUGUCACAACUCAGGCCUUCCCCUUAUCCGCCAUCAGGGAUAGAACAGAAAGACAUAAGCACUGGCAUGGGCCUAUUCCACAGCCAAGGCAGGUAAUGAGCUCUCAGGUACUUGCAACAAACUUGAGUGUGCAUUCGGUCCAGAAGGAAGAGCCCGCACCCUUUUUUGUUGCUGUUCAGUGUUAAUCCUUUGGUGGAACCCAACAGGACAGCAGUCUCAGUGCUGUUGUUUUUGAGAGGGAGAACAUCCCAGGGCAGAAAGGAAAGCCUAAAGCUACAGUCUGUUCCUCCAGUUCUUAGAACAGCUGGUUACUGAGCUCUCAGGCCAGACACUGGAUCCCGGAGAGCUUGUCCACUGCAACGGUGCAACAUGCUAAGGGCUAUGUGGCGGCACAGGGGCUCUGAGCUCCUGACAUGAGUCAUGUGGACCUGAGGCUGACACCCAGCCCUAUACCUACAAGCUGGGCGAGACCCCUUGCAGUUGCCUACACCCCUGCUGAGACCCAGUACCUCCCUGUAAAAUGGGGGAAAUAAUGCCUGCCUCACACGGUUUCAGUGAAGGGAAACAUCUGGAAACCCCCUGGGGGAGAUCUGCCACGUGGCCUCCAGUGAACUGUAGACUCCUGCAUAGCCUUCCAAAGUUCUUCAUUUGGUGAAUAUUAUGAGAAAUGACAUGUAUGACUUUCUCCCAAAUACAUGGCUUGAACCCAAAGUACAGUGAAAUCAGAACUGACCACACAGAGUAAUUGGGGAAAGGGAGUUAUUUGUGACACAAAGCCCUCAUCACUUUGUAAAAGUACUUGCUACUGAUUACAUUGAAAACCAGUCUUCCUGAGUAAAACAUGUUUUUUGUUUUGUAUUGUUUUUGUUUUUGUUUUUCUGAGAUAGAGUCUCACUCUCUCACCCAGGCUGGAGUGCAGUGGCAUGAACUUGGCUCUCUGCAAACUCUGCCUUCUGGGUUCAAGUGAUUCUCUUGCCUCAGCCUCCUGAGUAGCUGGGAUUACAGGUGCCCGUCACCACGCCAGGCUAAUUUUUUUGUAUUUUUAGUAGAGGCGAGCGAGGUUUUGCCAUGUUGGCCAGGUUGAUCUUGAACUCCUGACCUCAGAUGAUCCACACGCCUCGGCCUCCCAAAGUGCUGGGGUUACAGGCAUUAAGGGAGGAGACCACCCCUCAUAUUGUCUUAUGCCCAGUUUCUGCCUCCAAAGAAAGAAAAAGUAAAAACUGAAAGACAGAAAUGAAAUCCACAAGCAGACAGCCUGGCACCACACCCUGGGCCUGGUAGUUAAAGAUCGACCCCUGACCUAAUCGGUUAUGUUAUCUAUAGAUUACAGACAUUGGAUAGAAAAGCACUGUGAAAAUCCCUAUCCUGUUUUGUUCAGAUCUAAUUACCAGUGCAUGCAGCCCCCAGACACAUACCCCCUGCUUGCUCAAUCGAUCACGACCCUCUCACGCGCACCCUCUUAGAGUUGUGAGCCCUUAAAAGGGACAGGAAUUGCUCACUCGGGGAGCUCGGCUCUUGAGACAGGAGUCUUGCCAAUGCCCCCAGCCGAAUAAACCCCUUCCUUCUUUAA